rnacentral:rRNA from 1 species
ACGAAGGGUGCAAACGUUGCUCGGAAUUAUUGGGCGUAAAGGGCGCGUAGGCGGCUUGGCAAGUGACGGGUGAAAUCCCUCGGCUUAACCGAGGAACUGCCUGUCAGACUGCUUUGCUUGAGUCCGGGAGAGGUGAGCGGAAUUCCCAGUGUAGCGGUGAAAUGCGUAGAUAUUGGGAGGAACACCAGUGGCGAAGGCGGCUCACUGGACCGGAACUGACGCUGAGGCGCGAAAGCGUGGGGAGCAAACAGGA